GAAAGUAAUGUCCAAACGAUUUGCCCUAUCUGCUUCUUGUUGCCCCAUUUUUCUCUUCUGCCUUAGCUGCUCUUUGAGCUGCUCAUCACCUGCUCUAUCUUCUUCUUGUCAUCAGGAGAAAACUUCGAAGCAUCUUCUCAUCGUUGCUGCGCUGAUGGGGUUGCUAAUGCUCUCAAGCUCCUUCAUUUUGUCCUCGAAAUCACAGGUAUUUUCCUUGUUUCUUGAAUCUUGUACGCAUUUGACAUUAUAGCUGCUAACAUUCUAAUUGUUUUCAUGUAUAUGCUGGAAUCAUGAAUUUGACUUCUGAGAAAAUUGAUCUCCCUUUGAAUCUGCAAUUCAACCCUUGAACCUUUCAAACUCAGGUGCAUAUAUAUCCUCCUUGCUCUGUCCAGUGUCCUCCAUAUUAUCUGGUGGAUCCCCAUUAGAACUAUUGGUUUUCAUCUUCUGGUGCUUUCUCUCCUAUGAUAGAGCUUUUCUUUUCCCUUAUAUCUGCUUGCUGGUCAGCUAGGCCUUGUCCUAUUUGCCGUAGCCAAAUCCACUGUCAAAGGCUUUCCUACUGCAGUUGCCAUGGAGAAAACAGCUUCUUUUGCAAAAAAGUUUGGAGGUAAUAUGCUGGAGUGGAUAGCAUCUUCACAUAGUCUUCAAAGAGAGACAAUCUAAUCAGAAUGUAUCUUUCAUCAAUAAGGCCAAUGGUGGCAUUCCCUUUGAUUGCACAUUGUACUGGAAUUACUUCUCUUAGUUUCUUUAUGUCUAUGAUAUCAUAAGAGAAUUUGCCCAAGAUUGCAUAUUGUAAAUCUUCUUUGAUUAUCAUCUGGUGUAUUUCCUUAGAAUUCCAAGUUAUGUAGGGUUCACCAUCUACAAAAUUAACAGUCUUGGAUGGGAUAUUAAUCUGUUGUGUAUUCUGUACUGCUGUUGGAGGCUUCAAAAGAUUUGCAUAA